GACGAACGCUGGCGGCGUGCCUAAUACAUGCAAGUUGAGCGCUGAAGGUUGGUACUUGUACCAACUGGAUGAGCAGCGCACGGGUGAGUAACGCGUGGGGAAUCUGCCUUUGAGCGGGGGACAACAUUUGGAAACGAAUGCUAAUACCGCAUAAAAACUUUAAACACAAGUUUUAAGUUUGAAAGAUGCAAUUGCAUCACUCAAAGAUGAUCCCGCGUUGUAUUAGGUAGUUGGUGAGGUAAAGGCUCACCAAGGCGAUGAUACAUAGCCGACCUGAGUGGGUGAUCGGCCAAAAUGGGAAUGAGAAAAGGCACAAACGAAUAAGGGAGGCAGCAGGAGGGAAACUUCGGAAAUGGACGAAAGACUGAACGAGAAACGACGCGGGAGUGAAGAAGGAUGUAGGAUCGUAAAACUCUGUUGGUAGAGAAGAACGUUGGUGAGAGUGGGAAGCUCAUAAAGUGACGGUAACUACCCAGAAAGGGACGGCUAACUACGUG
rnacentral:rRNA from 1 species